rnacentral:rRNA from 1 species
GACAGAGGGGGCAAGCGUUGCUCGGAAUUACUGGGCGUAAAGGGCGCGUAGGCGGGAUGGCAAGUCGGUCGUGAAAUCCUUCGGCUCAACCGAAGAACGUCGGCCGAUACUGCCGUGCUUGAGGGAUGCAGAGGAGAUUGGAAUUCCCGGUGUAGCGGUGAAAUGUGUAGAGAUCGGGAGGAACACCGGUGGCGAAGGCGGGUCUCUGGGCAACAACUGACGCUGAGGAGCGAAAGCGUGGGGAGCGAACAGG